UGAGAUUGCAGUACUCGUUUCUAUGGAAUUGAACGGAAUUUCAGAGACGGGCUUAGGAAGAGUGCUUACAAAAUUGCAUACGACGUUUUUUAUAUCUUUCAGUCAGGACUUCUAGAAACAGUGGAGACAGAGACAGCGUCAGCAAUUCCUAUG